rnacentral:rRNA from 1 species
AUUGAACGCUGGCGGCAGGCCUAACACAUGCAAGUCGAACGAGUGGCGGACGGGUGAGUAAUGUCUGGGAAACUGCCUGAUGGAGGGGGAUAACUACUGGAAACGGUAGCUAAUACCGAAUACCAGCGGAUGUGCCCCGAUGGGAUUAGCUAGGAGGUAGGGUAACGGCUCACCUAGGCGACGAUCACUAGCUGGUCUGAGAGGAUGACCAACCACACUGGAACUGGUACACGGUCCCGACUCCUACGUGUGGCAGCAGUGGGGAAGUUUGCGCAAUGGGCACAAGCCUGAUGCAGCCAUGCCGCGUGUAUGAAGAAGGCCUUCGGGUUGUAAAGUACUUUCAGCGGGGAGGCGUUACCCGCAGAAGAAGCGCCGGCUAAAGCCGUGCCAGCAGCCGCGGUAAUUC